AUUGAACGCUGGCGGCAGGCUUAACACAUGCAAGUCGAGCGGGGGAAGGUAGCUUGCUACCGGACCUAGCGGCGGACGGGUGAGUAAUGCUUAGGAAUCUGCCUAUUAGUGGGGGACAACAUCUCGAAAGGGAUGCUAAUACCGCAUACGUCCUACGGGAGAAAGCAGGGGAUCUUCGGACCUUGCGCUAAUAGAUGAGCCUAAGUCGGACUAGCUAGUUGGUGGGGUAAAGGCCUACCAAGGCGACGAUCUGUAGCGGGUCUGAGAGGAUGAGCCGCCACACUGGGACUGAGACACGGCCCAGACUCCUACGGGAGGCAGCAGUGGGGAAUAUUGGACAAUGGGGGGAACCCUGAUCCAGCCAUGCCGCGUGUGUGAAGAAGGCCUUAUGGUUGUAAAGCACUUUAAGCGAGGAGGAGGCUACUCUAGUUAAUACCUAGGGAUAGUGGACGUUACUCGCAGAAUAAGCACCGGCUAACUCUGUGCCAGCAGCCGCGGUAA
rnacentral:rRNA from 1 species